UGAAUAAUUGUCAUUCACAACGAUAAAAUGGAAUUCACUGCGAAAACGUAAAUAAUGUUUGUGACAAAAUAAACAAAAAAACAACAACAAUCAUGCCCAAUGGCUCGUCAAGUGUGUGGCGAAUAAAUGGCAGACGACUGACAACAUAGAACAAAUAUUUCUAUGAUCUAUGGAUCUGGACGGAUCAUGUAGCUCCAGCACCUUUUCUGGCUACAAGGGCCCUAGCCAAAGCGAGCCAAAAAAGACGACACUUCUUGGAUGGCUGAAAUCGCUGUUGAGCCACAGCCGAAAUAAUUGCUACAUCUUCAUCAUCCAUUAUAAGAAAACAAUUAAUAAAUGUUCCAAGCAAAUUUAA